CCUUUUAUAUUUUCUUGUUUUUAAUCCGAAUAUGCUAUAUUUGUUGGAUGUAUAAACUCUAAAUAGGUCCUAUUUACAAUAUUGCUGAUUGAUAUGUCAUUAUUUAAAUGUACAUUGGAUCUAUUAUAAAUCUAUAUGAUCUUAAUGAUAUAAACAAAUUGACUCAUUUCCUUAUUUGGUUACAUGGACUUGCUAAUUCUUUAAAAGUAUGUUAAAAAUUCCGUGCUGAGACCUUAAUUGUUCUAAAUUUUCAUUAUUUCUUGCCAUGAGGAUUGAAUCUAUUGACAUGUUGUCUUCAU
rnacentral:lncRNA from 1 species